GACGAGGGAUCCUAGCGUUGCUCGGAAUUAUUGGGCGUAAAGCGGGUGUAGGUGGCUUGGUAAGUCGGGUGUGAAAGCCCAGGGCUCAACCCUGGAAGUGCAUUCGAUACUGCUUAGCUUGAGUGCGAGAGAGGUUAAUAGAAUACCUGGUGUAGUGGUGAAAUACGUAGAUAUCAGGUGGAACACCGGAGGCGAAGGCGGUUAACUGGCGCGACACUGACACUGAGACCCGAAAGUGCGGGGAUCAAACAGG
rnacentral:rRNA from 1 species